UUGUGAUAUCAUUUAGGAAAGCUUCAAUGACGCUAUUCAUUCUUUUCUGUGUGUUGAUCAUGUACCAAAGGAUUUCAAUAGAAUAUGCUACAGCGAAUUAAUAAUGAGAAGAGAAAGGUUCAACAUGGCUAAAACAAAAUGUCCUGCUCCGGGAGAAGUUUUUGACUGGAGGUGUAGUUGUAUUGUUGGAUUGUUUGACCACAGCGGCAGAAUGACGACCGGGUCCAGCCUGUGAUACACUGGGACACCUGCCGAGCCAGACCUGUUCCCUCGACGUUCCCAAGCCUUUUUUGCCCUUUACUGAAUCUGCUUGAGACAUUCUAGAGUAAGUUACAAGUGCAUUUUUAGGUUUCUGCCAACCAACCAACCAACCAACCAACCAACCAACCAAUUGAAUGAUUUUACUAAGAUUUGGAGUACAGGAAGUACCUGUGCAGAUGAGUAAUUUUCAGUGGGUGUAGCUUGCACUACCCCCACUUAUUGGUCCAAGAAGACUUUCGCCGGUGUGACAUGAAAAUUGACAAAACCAGGAACUUCCAAAGUCUCAGAUUUUAUUUCGAAGAGUUCCUUCUCCUAGGUAGAUUUCGAACCAAAGUUAAAGAGCUUCUACCUGCCCAUGAGGUAAGCUAUUCCAUUCCAGAUGUCAAACCGACACUCAGACACUAUAAAGUGAUCAAAUAUCAUUCCGGUGACCGACGCGGAGUAGCUCAUUCAUAAAAGAAUAAAAAAAGAAAGGUACGAUACGUAAUUUGCAAAUGUAAAUAAGAAUUAUAUAUAAAUAUAAAAAAGUAAAAGAUA